AGGGGCCGCGGCAACAACAGCAGCUUAUUCGGGUCGUUGCAAGAAAAGAAAACAAGACAGUAAGCGGAAAGCGGGGUGCAGCUGGAUAGAAGGUUUUUCAAAUCCAGCCCAGUGAAUACUGCUAAUUCCUCAACUUUGGUUGCAGAUCCGUUCCUAAAUUCUGGAGGACUUGGAACCUGUUCAAUGGAAAGGGGGUGAAGGUGUUUGCCACCCUGAGAUGCGUCCCUCUGGGAUGUGGAUGUAGGAUGUUAGAACAACAAGUCGAGGAGGUAAAACCUUGGUCAUUAACACAUGUGAUUACGUGACACAUCUCUUGUAUGCAUGUUAAACAAAACAAAGAACAAAAACUUGUCAUUAUCCAAGAAGGAGAAAUUCUGGGAAGCCUUGAAUUUGACCUGGCCAUG